AUACGUAGGGGGCGAGCGUUGUCCGGAAUGAUUGGGCGUAAAGGGCGCGUAGGCGGCGCGGUAAGUCUGGAGUGAAAGUCCUGCUUUCAAGGUGGGAAUUGCUUUGGAUACUGCCGCGCUUGAGUGCAGGAGAGGUUAUCGGAAUUCCCGGUGUAGCGGUGAAAUGCGUAGAGAUCGGGAGGAACACCAGUGGCGAAGGCGGGUAACUGGACUACAACUGACGCUGAGGCGCGAAAGUGUGGGGAGCAAACAGGAUUAGAUACCCUGGUAGUCCACACUGUAAACGAUGAAUGCUAGGUGUAAGAGGUAUCGACCCCUUUUGUGCCGGAGUCAACACAAUAAGCAUUCCGCCUGGGGAGUACGGCCGCAAGGUUGAAACUCAAAUGAAUUGGCGGGG
rnacentral:rRNA from 1 species